AGGAAACAAAUACAAAAAAAACGUCCUCAAAGAAGGCUUCACAUCAUGGGUCAUCAGUGAACCUCCUUAUUGGGUGAGAAAAUCAGCAUCAAAUAUGAACAUUAGAAUGAUUCUUGGGUAUUUAACAAAAGAGACAUGGCACAUCAAGAUUAAUAAUGUUGGGCAUGAACUCAGAAUUUUAUCUCAACAGGCAAUAAGUGGCCUUCAUUUAUCCACCCAAACAAGCUAACCAGCAUUCAGAUAUCAACAAGAAACAUAGAAGAGUAAUAGGAAUCCAAAUCAAACCAU
rnacentral:lncRNA from 1 species